CGGAAGUUUAGCUUCUAAGGUAAUCCACCAGAAUCCAAGAGUAAGCCCUCAGAGAGGAGUUGCAGUCCGAUUGUGUCAGCUUACUCAACUUGGAGAGGGAAGAUAAUGUACCGGCGCCACCGGUACAUUUGGACAGCUGUUUGAACAGCUUGAUAGAAUGAUCAAGAACUUGUUUGACUGAAGAGAUAGAAUGAAAAGGGAAGACCCAAAAGUGUUUUAUAACAGAAUGCGCAAGAUGGUUUGCAUCAUGGUUAUGAAGGAAAAGCUGACAGUAUUUUUGAGACAGCAAGAAAAACAUCAUUGCACACCACCAACUAAUAAGACUCCAAAGGAAUAACAAAGAUUAGAGUUUAAAGAAUGGAUUCAAUGCUGGUACUUGGAUAAAGAUAAUCAGGCAUGGACUCUCAUCUCCUAUGGAUCUUCAGCACCUUUAGGUUACAGUUUUAUAUUUCACUAGAAGAGACUCAUAAAUAAACAAAGGACAGUCAGUUACUACAGAAGAGAAGCA